AAAGAGAUGCACAAAAGUUAUAAUUUUCGACACAGAGAAAAAUAUUAUUAAUCAACUCUAAAUAAAAUUAAUUAUAUUAAUUGAAUGCUACGUUUAUGUUUAUGUAGAGACGAUAUCCGAAUUCUAUCAUAAUCAAAAUUUAAAAUUUUAUCAAUUUAUUUAAUACUUAUUUAAAACUUCUAAAAUCAUAUUCCUAUUUUUUAGAAAAUUACUUUUUAUAGAACCAUUCUAAAAUCAAAUAAAAUUACCAAAAAUAAAAUUUUUAAAAUUUUUAAAAAAUUAAUCCUAAUUAUUAUUAUUUUUUUGACUGCAUCACUAUUCAACUU
rnacentral:lncRNA from 1 species